GACGAACGCUGGCGGCGUGCCUAAUACAUGCAAGUCGAGCGAGCUUGCCUAGAUGAAUUUGGUGCUUGCACCAAAUGAAACUAGAUACAAGCGAGCGGCGGACGGGUGAGUAACACGUGGGUAACCUGCCCAAGAGACUGGGAUAACACCUGGAAACAGAUGCUAAUACCGGAUAACAACACUAGACGCAUGUCUAGAGUUUAAAAGAUGGUUCUGCUAUCACUCUUGGAUGGACCUGCGGUGCAUUAGCUAGUUGGUAAGGUAACGGCUUACCAAGGCAAUGAUGCAUAGCCGAGUUGAGAGACUGAUCGGCCACAUUGGGACUGAGACACGGCCCAAACUCCUACGGGAGGCAGCAGUAGGGAAUCUUCCACAAUGGACGCAAGUCUGAUGGAGCAACGCCGCGUGAGUGAAGAAGGGUUUCGGCUCGUAAAGCUCUGUUGGUAGUGAAGAAAGAUAGAGGUAGUAACUGGCCUUUAUUGAC
rnacentral:rRNA from 1 species